UCUCACAAAACUCAAAAUCUAUCACAAGAAGCAGACAUUAAUCCAAUAAUUAUAAAAAUACGAUAGUAGUCACUGGUGUGAAAACCUCUGUUGCUCUGAGAAUGUAUCAAGGGCUAAUAAAUGGCCUCAGCAGAGGGGGUUUAAAAUGUCUCUUUAACUCUAUGCAUCCUGGUCGACCAAAGGUACUUUGAGAAAGAAGUCAUUGCUGGAGAAAACUAACCUUAACUUAAGAUUGUAAAAGUCUAAUUAAUAUUACUCAGUGUUUAAAAUAAUCCCCUUUUGGGCCCUCCACUGAAUAAAGUUUUCAGAGAAGAAUCUUCAAAUAACUCAAAAGAUAUACUAUGGCAUCGUUCUUAAUUAGAGCCCUUUAGCAAAAAAACAUGGAUA
rnacentral:lncRNA from 1 species